GACGAACCGUGCGAACGUUGUUCGGAUUCACUGGGCUUAAAGGGCGCGUAGGCGGCUUGCCAAGUCAGGGGUGAAAUCGUUCGGCUCAACCGGACAAGUGCUUCUGAUACUGGCGGGCUGGAGGGAGGUAGGGGCAGACGGAACUUCCGGUGGAGCGGUGAAAUGCGUAGAUAUCAGGAGGAACACCGGUGGCGAAGGCGGGUCUCUGGGCAGUAACUGACGCUAAGGAGCGAAAGCGUGGGUAGCGAACAGG
rnacentral:rRNA from 1 species